AUAUUGCACAAUGGGCGAAAGCCUGAUGCAGCAACGCCGCGUGAGGGAUGACGGCCUUCGGGUUGUAAACCUCUUUUAGUAGGGAAGAAGCGCAAGUGACGGUACCUGCAGAAACAGCACCGGCUAACUACGUGCCAGCAGCCGCGGUAAUACGUAGGGUGCAAGCGUUGUCCGGAAUUAUUGGGCGGAAAGAGCUCGUGGGCGGCUUGUCGGGUCUGUAGUGAAAUCCCGAGGCUUAACCUCGGGAUUGCAGGGGGGACGGGAGAGCUGGAGUGCGGUAGGGGAGAUUGGAAUUCCUGGUGUAGGGGUGGAAUGCGCAGAUAUCAGGAGGAACACCGAUGGCGAAGGCAGAUCCCUGGGCCGGUACUGACGCUGAGGGGCGAAAGCAUGGGGGGCGAACA
rnacentral:rRNA from 1 species